rnacentral:rRNA from 7 species
CGUUGUGACGCGGAGGGAUCAUU